rnacentral:rRNA from 1 species
UACGUAGGGCGCAAGCGUUGUCCGGAAUUAUUGGGCGUAAAGAGCUCGUAGGCGGUCUGUCGCGUCUGUUGUGAAAGCCCGGGGCUUAACCCCGGGUCUGCAGUGGAUACGGGCAGGCUAGAGGCAGGUAGGGGAGAGCGGAAUUCCUGGUGUAGCGGUGAAAUGCGUAGAGAUCGGGAGGAACAUCAGUGGCGAAGGCGGCCAUCUGGGACAACACUGACGCUGAAGCACGAAAGCGUGGGGAGCAAACAGG